rnacentral:rRNA from 1 species
GAUGAACGCUGGCGGCGUGCCUAAUACAUGCAAGUCGAACGGGGUUAUUGUAGCAAUACGAUAACCUAGUGGCGAACGGGUGAGUAACGCGUUGGUGACCUGCCCCAAAGAGGAGGAUAACGAACCGAAAGGUUCCCUAAUACUCCAUAUGGUCAUAGUUUUCAGAAAGCUAUGAUUAAAGUCGCAAGACGCUUUGGGAGGGACCUGCGUCCCAUCAGCUAGUUGGUAGGGUAACGGCUUACCAAGGCUAUGACGGGUAGGGGACCUGAGAGGGUGACCCCCCACAAUGGAACUGAAACACGGUCCAUACACCUACGGGAGGCAG